CGGGUGAGUAACACGUGAGUGACCCGCCUUUUAGACUGGAACAACUUACCGAAAGGUGAGCUAAUGCCGGAUGAGUUAUAUAAGUGCAUGUUUAUAUAGGAAAAGUUGGGGAGACCUGACGCUGAAAGAUGGACUCGCGUCCCAUUAGCUAGUUGGUAGGGUAAUGGCCUACCAAGGCGACGAUGGGUAGCCGGCCUGAGAGGGUGGCCGGCCACACUGGGACUGAGACACGGCCCAGACUCCUACGGAAGGCAGCAG
rnacentral:rRNA from 1 species